GGCCUCUCGCGUCAGGAUAUGCCCAGGUGGGAUUAGCUAGUUGGUGAGGUAAUGGCUCACCAAGGCGACGAUCCCUAGCUGGUCUGAGAGGAUGAUCAGCCACACUGGAACUGAGACACGGUCCAGACUCCUACGGGAGGCAGCAGUGGGGAAUAUUGCACAAUGGGCGCAAGCCUGAUGCAGCCAUGCCGCGUGUAUGAAGAAGGCCUUCGGGUUGUAAAGUACUUUCAGCAGUGAGGAAGGUGGAUGUGUUAAUAGCGCAUUCAUUUGACGUUAGCUGCAGAAGAAGCACCGGCUAACUCCGUGCCAGCAGCCGCGGUAAUACGGAGGGUGCGAGCGUUAAUCGGAAUUACUGGGCGUAAAGCGCAUGCAGGUGGUUUGUUAAGUCAGAUGUGAAAGCCCGGGGCUCAACCUCGGAAUUGCAUUUGAAACUGGCAGACUAGAGUACUGCAGAGGGGGGUAGAAUUUCAGGUGUAGCGGUGAAAUGCGUAGAGAUCUGAA
rnacentral:rRNA from 1 species